GUUAUCCUGAGGUCUGAGAUAUUUGUUUGGUAGCUAGUAGCUAUUGUUUUCUUGUGAAAAAUGACUAGACACUGAGAAAUUUAAAGUUAUCGUGCUAUUACCAACAACAAAAGAGUGAAUAUGAAAACAAUGGAUAAACCAUUUACAUUUGAAUGUAGUGUGUUUACUAGCUGUGCCUUGUUUUGGAUGUUUGUUUAUUGUUCAUUAAUUUUAUUACUUGAAAUAAUAACAUUGAAUAUUUAUAUUGGAGUUAUACUUCUUUUAGUAAUUAUAAUUACAUAUGUGUGUUUGUGGUAUUUUGCUCUGCCUCAGCCAGAUGAUGCACUAGUUACUGAAAUUUUAGGCAAUAAUCCUAGGAUGAUGAUAAGAUCUAGCUCUCUGACUUCUCUGAUUGGGGCUAUGUCAAAUUCUAUCUCAAAAGAAGAACAAGAUCGCCCUGAUGACUGUGAAUUUUUUCCAGUGAUUGGACACCGAGGAGCUGGACUUGAUGCCCCAGAGAACAGUUUAUCAGCUAUUAAACAGUGUCAUGAGAAAGGAUGCAGAGCAGUGGAGUUUGAUCUGGCACUGACUGCUGAUGAUGUGCCGGUAUUGUUCCACGAUGACACGGUUGACCGACUCACCAACGCUACCGGGCUGGUACAGCAAAUGACCUGGGAGCAACUUCAGACUCUUGACAUCUCAGUAAAACACCCUUUGCAGGAGCGGUUUGAGGGUGAGAGAGUUGCUCUGUUCAGCGAAGUGAUCCAGUUGUGCUUGGACCUGGACAUGCGGAUCAUUAUAGACGUCAAGGACGAGAGUGUUAAGGUGGUGCAAGUAAUUUUGGAAACUUUCCAAGCACACCCAAAACUAUACAAGAGAGCAAUGGUUUCAGCCUUUAAUCCGUUUAUUAUUUAUAUGGUACGUGCACGGGAUCCAAAAAUCGUCUGCUCGCUGGCUUGGCGCCCAUACUUCUAUUCCUGUAGCAGUUUCGGUCGUGACGUUGGCCGUGUACGUCGCUACACAUACCUGCCUGCACAUGUCGCUGCACGUGUGGCUGACCUCGUGUCCACCUGGCUCUUCAACUCUAUUAGCUUCUACAUUCUGGGUCUCUCUGCUGUAUUGCUACACAAGGACGUUAUCACAUCUGAUGUGGUGACAAAAUGGGAGGAGAGAAACAUCCGGGUGGUUGUGUGGACAGUGAACAGACCUCACGAGAAACUGUAUUUCAGACGAGUUUUGCAGCUGGCCUACAUCACAGACACGUUAGCAAGUGACAAGCUUGGCACUCUCUACUGAUAGCUGACUUGUGUUAUAACUCAGUGUGAAGCUGUUCAAACAUUUCCUACCCUUAACUGAGACUGCUAUCUAAUCUGCCACACUAGCCUCCAGAUGGAGUUACAUGUACAAGGCCAGAAAUCUGCUUUCGUCAUCAACUGGCGGGAGAGACUCGGCUAAACACUCAGGCAGUUAUACUUUGUGGUGGUUAAUCUGUAAUGUAUGUUUUUUUUUUUUAUAUGCACAAACUUAGAUUUCACAAUCAAUAAAUUUAUAGCGAUAUUUCUUUUUAAAUCUAAGUAUUAGCAAUGUUAAUACUGUAUAAAGCCAAUAAAAUAUUUGUUCUUAACAAACAAGAAAGUGAGCAAUAGAAACUUAGGAAUUACCAUACAUGAGCUCAUGCUGUGUUCAUUUCAAUUUUCAUACAAAACGAUCAACUGAAGAUUCGUUGAAAGCCAGUUAAAGGGUUAAAGUACUGUAUAUUUUAUCAAUAUUUUAUUUGUAACCUAUAAAUUUUACAAUUACCGAUUUCAGUGAGUAACCAGGUUUCAGGACUGGUUAACUCACAUUAUUUGCCAAGAUUUUUUAUUCUUCAGCUAUGAACAUUAUUUGAAUAUUGCACCAAAAAUAUCGCCAGUCAAAGUAACUUAUUUAUUGGACUCAAUGUUUAUACUACAAUGUUACCUGUGGCUUUGCAUGCAAUUUUCCUGUUGAAUAGCAGGAAUUCCAUAGGCAUAUCCUUUUAAAUUACAUGCCAAACACUCCUGUGGUAAGUGAUGAUCACUAGAAAAUAUUCCAAUCUCCUGAUCUAUUUUCGAAUAAUUGAACCACAAGUUCAAUCAAAGUUUAAAGUAGUACUUUGAGGGCCUGAAUUUGUAGAGUGAAACAGAUUUUAUAAGGGCCAAUGAAAUUAUUCGAAUUUCACUGCAAAAAUCCAUGAUAUCUGAUAGAUUGGCUCCAAUGAUUUCAGUAAUACUUGAAAUAUUUUUGGUCAGUGUGCAGCAAUAAUAAAGUUAAAAUCCCUAGUCUUUGUAAUGAAAGCAUUUAUCAUGUAAUAUGAUGGAACCCGUUCAUGAUUUUAAAACGGAGAUAGGCAUGUAUCAAGUAGAUAUUAUUCCAGUGUUUACAGUAAAGAGGAUCAAAUGUUAAGCACAAUAAAAGUUAGUGCUGUAUAAAGAAUCUAGACAUAACUUAAAACUAUAAUUAUUGAAACCAAACUGAUUUAUUAACUGAAUUCUUACAGGACAGUUUUAUCCUGUAAUACAUUACUCAAUAGUUCGAACAGGCGUAUUGGUGACUGCACCUUUGUUGCCUUUGAAAUAUGUAAUUUUGUACUAAUAAAAAGGGUUUUACAGUUUUGUUAUUGGUUACUGCACCAUAUAAAAUAUUUUCCAAUCUAAAUAUUUUUAAAUUGAUGCAAAAGUGAAAAAAAAAUAGGAUAACAAGAAACAUUACUAAUUAAAAAUAAAAAUUCUUUUUUCUGUCGUUUUUUUUGUUUGUUUUUCUUUAGGGUAUUUACAUAAGUUAUCCAAUGAUUAUGCAGCAGUUCUUUCAUCACAGCAAUGAUUCAUACCAGUUAUCUGUUGUCAAAUGGCGAUCCAUUCCAGAAACUUGAGAUUUCAGGUGAAGAAAUACUUCAGUUCCAGAGUAAGUUUAUCUAAAGGAACUUGAUGGUUGAGUUUCAGGGUAAAUUUCUAAGGUUUGACAUGUAGAAUGUCUUGGAGUCACAAAGCACAAAGAUUUUAGAUGCAUUUCGCAGUUUAUAUAAAUUUCACCAGUAUAUGCGCCAAAAAUCUGUUUGUUAUUAUUGGAUAAAACUCUUUGCGCUUUGUGACUCCAAGACAUGCAACAAAGUAUUCAAAAAAACAUUGUAAUAUUAUAUGUUUAGAAUUGUAGUAUAUUCAGUUUUUGUUUUACCAUGACAAUGUCACCUGUCUAAUAUGUAGUCUAGUAUUAAGUUCACAAUUGCUAAAACAUGCAAUGUUACAAUAAAGUAUAUUCUAUUCUGUCACUAGGAGCAAACAAGAGUGUUUUAACCCUUCCCACGCGGAAUUUAUCUUUAAAUUUUGACUCAUAACGCGUAAUUAACUUUAAAAAUUGUUUUACAUUUUACCAAUUCUAAUUUAUUUUUUAGUUAGUGGUGUCUAUUAGGAAUAUAAAAUAAUACAGUAUCACAAAAUAAUCAGACCCCUAUAUUUUUUUACAAAAUUGUAAAAUUUUACAAAAAAUUGUCAUGAUUCGCCAUUGCAUAGAACAACAUAGGCCUAUAGCGACACAAAUAAAGUAAUAACAAAAUAAAAUGAUAAUAUAAUGCUAAAUACAACAGGAACACGAAUAGUAAAUAAGGAAAUAUGGCAAAACAGCGUUAAACACUAAAAUAUGCCAUGCCGGGAUAUAUCCGUUUACCGCGUAAUGGUUCGCCGCAGACUGAGGCUAAAUCACGCCACGAGGGACAAAGCCACGCCCUCCCACCACUGCAAUGCGCUAAUGAGGUUCAAACUGUAACAUCUGCUUUUUGGAACAAGUAUUUAACACUCCCUUGAACUUUAGUGGAUUCCACGGCAACUACAAUUUAUUAAAUAACACAAAAUAGACUUUGAAGGAUAUAUCCGUUUGCUGCGUUUCGGUCAAAAUGAGGUCUAACAGAUAUAUCCGUUUGCCACGUGGGAAGGGUUAAGUGCUACAUGCAAGUAUAACCAAGAACCAAAAGACUAACCUCAAGACAUGAUUAACUUUGUAUUCUAUUGGAGGUAUUCUAUUUAUUAAAUACACCAAUUAUACAAUAUAAAGAUUAACAAAACCCCACUAACAAAAACUAAACUGUACCCAGCUGAGGUUUUAUUGUGCUAUUAAUACUCAACGUGGAACUCAAAAUGUUAUUGUAGAGAUCAACUAAACUGAAAAUACAUGUCAUAUUGAAAAUUACAUGUUUUGUGCAGUGCUGUCUCAUUUGUUAUGCAAACAAAAACAUAAGUUAAAUUUUAAUUUGAACUGUGCCUUUUAACCCAACAAUUUUUCUCUCAUCAAACUUCCACAACCAAUUUCUCAGUAUUUAUCAUAUCAUUAUAAAUUGUUUUUUUUACACACUGUGACAUUUUGUUUUCAUGAUAUUUUUGAUGGGCACAGAAUGAUUGGGGACAUAAUAUUAAAUGUAGUAUUUAAAUUAAAUUCAUAGUUACCAUAAUGAAAUGUUUAUGAACUUUAUACUUAAUUUUUACUAUGAUAAGUAUAUAUCAUUACAUAUCUCAAAACAUUGAGGGUUGUUUUAUUUAUUAGCUAUUUCAUAAUUUAUAUACAUGUAAUGUUCAAAACUAUUUUAAGUAAUAAAGAGUGUAUCGCACAAUUAAUAGCCCAUAAAGGCUGUGACCAGCCCUGGCUAUAACCAAAUUUAUCAAUUAUUAACCCUAAGGCAGCUAAGUUGUAAUAGUGUGCUUGUUCUAUUAUUUUGUACAAAAUUCAAUUGAGUAUUUAGGCAGCUUUAAUUAUCUACUUUACCACAUAUUAUUUAUUGUAGAAAUGCUGAUAAUAAUUUACUUAUAAAUGUUUGUACCUGUGAAUUAUUCAGUUAGUAUUUUAUUUCUUUAUACUUUGCCGUUAAGGCGUUCAAAACUACAAUCUACUAUCGACACAAAUACAUAAGACUGUAACUAUUAAAUAUUUUAAGAACUA